rnacentral:rRNA from 1 species
AUUGAACGCUGGCGGCAGGCCUAACACAUGCAAGUCGAGCGGAUGAAGGGAUCUUGCUCCUGGAUUCAGCGGCGGACGGGUGAGUAAUGCCUAGGAAUCUGCCUGGUAGUGGGGGAUAACGUCCGGAAACGGGCGCUAAUACCGCAUACGUCCUGAGGGAGAAAGUGGGGGAUCUUCGGACCUCACGCUAUCAGAUGAGCCUAGGUCGGAUUAGCUAGUUGGUGGGUAAAGGCCUACCAAGGCGACGGACCGUAACUGGUCUGAGAGGAUGAUCAGUCACACUGGAACUGAGACACGGUCCAGACUCCUACGGGAGGCAGCCGUGGGGAAUAUUGGACAAUGGGCGAAAGCCUGAUCCAGCCAUGCCGCGUGUGUGAAGAAGGUCUUCGGAUUGUAAAGCACUUUACGUUGGGAGGAAGGGCAGUAAGUUAAUACCUUGCUGUUUUGACGUUACCAACAGAAUAAGCACCGGCUAACUUCGUG